AGGGUUCGAUUCUGGCUCAGGAUGAACGCUAGCGGCAGGCCUAAUACAUGCAAGUCGAACGGAAGGGGCCCUUCGGGGCUUCUGAGAGUGGCGCACGGGUGCGCAACGCGUAUGCAACCAACCCCCGACGGGCGGAUAGCCGGUGGAAACGCCGGAUAAUACGCCAUGGUUCCGGUGGAGGGCAUCCUCUAGCCGGAUAAAGCCGAGAGGCGGUCGGGACGGGCAUGCGUCCCAUUAGGUAGUCGGCGGGGUGACGGCCCACCGAGCCCACGAUGGGUAGGGGAUCUGAGAGGACGGUCCCCCACACUGGUACUGAGACACGGACCAGACUCCUGCGGGAGGCAGCAGUAAGGGAUAUUGGUCAAUGGAGGGAACUCUGAACCAGCCCAUGCCGCGUGAGGGAAUGAGGCCCUACGGGUCGUGAACCUCUUUUAUUCGGGGACAAGGGCGCGGUCGCGAACCGUGUUUGAGGGUACCGAAGGAAUAAGCGUCGGCUAACUCCGUGCCAGCCGCCGC
rnacentral:rRNA from 1 species